CUAUUGUCCUUGGGGGCACAGGCUGGGGAUUUAAAAACGUCAAGAAGAGGAGAUUCGAUCCCACUCAGCAAGGCCCCAUCUGAAUCAGCUGCACUGGAGGAGUGCCACCUUGCACUGUGGGGUUCUGGCAAUGACAUGCUUUCCACCAUGCUGCUGGAACUCUUAAGUCUGUAAACAAGACCAUUGGGUGGUAAUGACUACAGAGCUCAAAUCUGAGGACGGGGAUGGGGUACAACACAACAGUCCCUUUUGGAAAUAACUUCAAGUAACCCCCUCUAUCACCUGUCAAUAAAGGGGAGGGGUUAAAGACCACGUCAUUAUAAAAAAACUGUUCAGAAUCCUUUAUUUUUCUUUCUUUUUAACUAAAGGAGAAGGGAGCAGCAACAAGUGCAAUAAAAGAACAAAUCGCCAGUGACCCCCCCUUAGCCUGCUGACACUUAAUAUCUUCUAAAGGAUUUGGCAUGAUUUUUUUUCCUUUUACUAUCAAAGACAAACUCCAGCGGCAUGAAGAUCCAAUUUUGGAAAGGGUAAAAACUGCAUGGCAUAUAUAACAACAAGCUAGCAAGCCAGCCUUCAGCAAAUCCUACCGUGGAAAUCCCGAGGGGAAGAUGACAGACGACCACACAGACGCUGCCUGGCUUUGGAUUAAUGCCUUCCCACUCCUCCACCUCCGUCCUGGCCCACCUUUUCCCUCCAUGCCCCUCGGCCCACUCUGGACCGGCCGUGGCAGCACUCAUCUGGACUGUGUUCUUGAUGCCCUGUACCCAUUAUUUCUCUCCUGGACCAAGCAUCCUUUGGAAAUGGGAUCUGGAACUUGAACAGUGCUAUUGUACAGUUCUUUUAUAAAUGUAGAUAUGGAAGUGAGGUUUUGACACGCCAUUUUCGCUUGUCUCUAUGGAAAUGUUUUCCUCGCAAAGAUACUCUCUAUACUUUGUUGCUUGCUCCACAUCUUCUUUAUCUUUCUUUUUCCUCUUGUUUUCCUCCUUUGUCUCUGUCCUCUCUUAUAACAUAUCCACUUGCUUAACAAGACAGACGUAGCCACAGAUGCAGGGAGUUUGGGCACAAAUCUAGAAUGUUUGAAACCAAAUAUUAAAAAAAACCUAGGGGGCUGGGGGGGGGACCACAAAACAACCCAUAACAAGAACACAAAAUAUGUAAGUGUGAGUGUAUAUGUACUGAUGACCCUAACAUGUUUGAUGUCAUCAUAAGCACAUGUAUAUACCGUAGGGAAACCGAGACCCUUCUCAAGUUAAUCACAGAAGUGCCAAACUCAUCAUUCUCGCUUCUGGUUUCGACAGUUCUCUUUCCCUGUCAUAAAUGUGAAAGGAGGAGGAACUUAAAGCCUUAAAUAAAGAAUUAAUAACUUUUAAAUGCUGGAAGCUUGGAGACAGUUCAGCUUUCCAUUCUGUUCAUCUGUAUCUAUUUAAUUUUUUUUGAUAAAUUUCAUUUAUGCUUCCUCUUCCUGCCUCAGAGCCUGUGUGACAGAGCCCAGUGUAGACAGCAGGUCAUCUCUGAUCAUUUCUGCAUGGUGGUUUCGGGACUCUCCCGACCUCUGUGUUUUGCUGGACCAUGGACUCUGGGUUGUGAUGGGAUUCCACUAUGUCUGAGUCCAUACGCUUCUUUUUUCCCCCAAGUGGCCAGGGAGAUAGAGUCUUGGCAUUCCCAAGGCUGAGUUUCCCUCAUCUUCCCCCAUUGCAAUUCUAAGGGAACAGGCUAUUGAGGAGGUCCUCUCCUAGGUUUGCUUUGGACAUACAGAUAUACAGUGAAAACCCAUCAAGGACUCGACCUGCCAGAGAGCCCUACUUCUUCACUGGCCCACUUUUAGCAAGAACAUCCAGAUGAACUAUGCAUUUCUUCCUGGCGUUGAGGUACUUUUACAUUUAGCUCUUAGCCCCUCUCUGGCAAGACUUAAGUUUUACAUUUUCCUCGACUGGGAGGAGGAUUUCCUAAUGGGCUUCAUGAAACUGGACUUUCCCUCUUCCCCCAAAGAUAUCUUUAAUUGUUGACAUUUCACCCUCACAGAGUAGAAACCUUGAUUGCUAUGUACAACCCCAGACCAUAACUUAACAUCCUAACCUUCAGAUGGCUUUCUGAGAAACAGGUGCUAUGUAGGUAUGCAGUCUGUCGCUUGAACUUGCUGUUUGUUUCUAUAGUAAUAACAGGGCUCUCUGAAGGCGAGUUGGCCUUAUUUCUGGUUCCAGAAGACACGGGUUGUAUCCCUUUACUUAAUGGCAGUGGUUCAGUUGGAGGAAGGUCAGAGGAAACUCAGAUGGUAUCUCUUCCUGUUGUUGCAAUGUUUCGGGGUCCACUUCACUAUGAGAUACCAAGCAGCUGCCAACCUCACUGUACUCAUUUCAUUACUAUUCCCGAGGCACCAUGGUGAGUUUUUCCAACAUAAAACCAUGUCAGUUACAAAACAGAUCUCCCUUGAUAACUUUGGAACAUUUCACAAACAACAUUGUAAAUGUGCGAUGUUAUGUUUUAAAUCAGACCACAGUGGUCCCCAAAUAUUAUGUACAUAUGACAAAUGCCAGUGUAACUUUUUGUUACGCUGACAGUUUCAUAGGUAAACCAACCUAUGCUCCAAUGUUAAAUUACGUGUGUAUAUGUGAAAUACACAAGCAUUAAGCUAAGUGUGUAUGGACACGAGGGUAGUGCAAUCAUACUGUAUAAAAUGGGCCAGAAUCAUUUUCAGUGGUGUUAGGUCAUGUAGUUUCAGACUCGUUGCUGCAUUUUCUCUUGCACAUGCCAUCCAUUUGCUUAUUCUUGGGCGUGAGUACUCCUUAUUAAUUUGAAUUCAAAGCACAAGCCUCCCCUUGUUCAACAUUGCCCAACGAGAGUGUCAAGUGAUGGCCAAGUUCCCACUUCACCUGCUCUACUUUUACUGCGACACUGACGAGGAGGUGUGCGCUGACCUCAUUGCUCACCCGGGAUAGUGCAUGAACCCACUGAAUUAGACCUACUUCUACCAGCUAAGUGAGCAGUACCAUAGGUGCAUGUUUCAACAGGAGUCACAUAGAGUGCUGGAGUUUUGCCAAGUGAUGUGUUUUCUUUUUUUCCUUUUCUUAUUUCUCUUUCUUUCUUUCUUCCUUUCUUUCUUCCUUCCUUUCUUUCUUUUUUUUUUACUAUGCAAAGAUGGGAAAUGCACAAACCUCCAAGACAUGUCUGAAGAACUUUACAAUACUUGAAUCCUUUCUUUAAUUAUCCCAUCACAUUGUUAUGGUCACUGACACUUCCAUUGUUGUUUUUCCUUUCUUUUGUUCCCUUCAACUCCAAUGGUUUGUGAUUUUUAAAUGCACAACCCGAACUUUUGUUUGAAGUUAAAUUCUAACCCUCUUUGCUGCCUGUGAGCAAAGAUUCCAUCAUGCUUAUAUGCAUCUUUUGGUUGACUGUGCAUUAAAAGUUUUAUUAUUGUAGGAUGUCGCGGUUUUGUGCUUUGACUGGUGUUUCUUAACUCUCGUUUCUUCUGUGUUUUCUUGCAUUAUUGGUCAAGUGGCUAUGUGCCUGGGAUUUGGCAGUCUCAAUCAAAGGUUCACUGCAAACUGAAGCAGCCAAUGGAGCAAAAUAAACUUUCUGGUUAAUGGUU
rnacentral:lncRNA from 1 species